rnacentral:lncRNA from 1 species
AAUGUAGAAAAUGAAGAACGCGGUUUUUAUUCAUAAACUUUAUGACUCUGUUUAUCAUAGAUUUUGUUUAUGCUUUCAUCUUGUUGUAUGUCAUGAGACAUUUUCAACGCAUAUUUAUUUGUCCAUUUUCAUUAAGAAAUGAGCAUUUUAUAAUCCUUUGAACACGACCGGUUGGGAAUGUAAAAUGAAGAAGAUGAAAAUGCAGAAUUU